rnacentral:rRNA from 1 species
CGUGUAGGCGGCCGAUUAGGUAUGGAGUGAAAGUCCUGCUUUCAAGGUGGGAAUUGCUUUGUAGACUGGUUGGCUUGAGUGCGGAAGAGGUAAGUGGAAUUCCCAGUGUAGCGGUGAAAUGCGUAGAGAUUGGGAGGAACACCAGUGGCGAAGGCGACUUACUGGGCCGUAACUGACGCUGAGGCGCGAAAGCGUGGGGAGCGAACA